GACGCAAAACGCUCUAUUAAAUAAAUGAAACAAUAAAUGCAAUUGAAUGAUGAUGGGGACCUAGAAACCUUCACUGAAUUAAAAUGGCAAAAAGCUGAAGCGCAACUUGAGAUUUAAUGGCAUUGAACAAGCCAUCCACUGGAUCCAAAUUAGGUGAUGCAAGCAUCUAUGUCUAAGCACCCAGAUCUAGCAAUAGUCACUGGGAAAUUUCAAUUUUUCCCAACAUCUGACUCUAGAAGAUGCUUUCCUACGUUGCCCCAAAAAAAAAUUCUAAAAGUGGUUAGCUGCACCAGACAUGAUUGCGAACUUUGGUUCCACCUAUAGUCCAUGUCUAAAGUAUUGACUAGUAUCUCAUGAUAGUAAUAAACUCUAUGUUGUGAUUUUUUUCGACAUGGGUCGUAUUUGAAGGCCGUUAGUUUUUGUUAUCAAGUCAGUAUUUUCUAAACAGGUCAACUAAUGGUUACAAAAUUAUAAAAAGACAUGGGAACUUUCAGUCCUUCUACAAUCACAUGUUAGAAACAUUGAAUUGUACUGGCUGAUAGUAAGUUGGGUAGUAGUUGUCUCAACAUUGAUUACUCAUGAACAUUGUGCUACUAAUUUUUAUUAUCAUAUCGGCAAUUACUAACUUUAUGAUAUUUUCACUAGGAAAGUUGAAUAUUUUCCAACAACCAACUCCGGAAUUGGUUCUCUACCAUUCUUUAAAAAGAGAAAAAAGAAGAAAAACAAAAGAAAAAAAAGCUCCAAAAGUGAAGAGGACGCCAAAUAUGAUCACUAAGAACUUUGGAUCCGUCUAUAGUCCCCAGUUGUAAAACACAAAAUAAUCUUUCAAGAAACAAAUUUCUCAAAGUAUUGAUAUUCACAAUGUGGGUCGCUAACUUACUGCCAGUAACCUUUUUCUUUUCAAGUUAGUAACUUUCCAAGCAUAUUAAGUAAUGGUAACGGGAUCAUGGAAAGACACACAGAUUUAGGUCCAUCUACAAUCCUACAGUCUCCUACAGAUAAUUGUCUCAUGAUCUUCCCUAAAAUUUGUUUUCCCAACAUGUGUUCGUAACUCUGCAUUAUUAACUUCUAUUAUGGAGUCAAUCACUUUCUUAACAGAUCAAGGGCGGGACCAUAAAAGGACACAGAGAUUUGAGUUUGUCUACAGUUCCAUGUAAAAAAAGAAAAGUAGAAUUGUAUCUCGUGACAGUAAAUUUCUGUGUGUUGGUAAUUUUCUCAACUUGGAUUAGUAGCUUAAUGCUGGUAAUAAGUUUCAAGCAGAUCAUGCAGUCUCAUGAUCAUAGAAUUCUUCGGUGAUGUUCAUUUUAAGUCCUCCUUCUAACUUAUGCAAUCAUAAACAAAACUUCUCAUAGAUAGAGAAAUAUUCGAUAUAUAUACCGGUAUUUAACUCGGAAAUUAAGGGUAAGGAUGCGCAUGACAAAAUUUCUGAAACAAAAAUUGAUUUUUGACUAGAAAUUGAUUUCUUAAUUUCUAUUUUAGAAAUUGAAAAGUUAAAAAUUUUAUUUUUUGAUUUCUUCUUCAAAUCUAUCUGUUCCAGAAAUAGAAAAAUAAAUUUGCGUUACAAACGGAUUUCUGUUCUAAACCUAUUUAGGGAACAAAGAAACAGAGAAAUAGAGAAGUAGAAAUUUUAUCAUGCACGCAUCUCUCAUUAUGCAUUGUCCUUUUCAUAAAACUGAUCAUGUUGCAAUACUCCUUAAAGGUUUUAACACCAGAACUAAUAGAGAGUAAGACAAACUGUUGACCAGCACAUUUAACCAGUACAAUAAACAGGACAGCACACAAUCUACUAAUAUUGGUUUGAUGGACAAAAGCAGCAAGCUUCUUCACUACACAAGCCUAUUAGAACAUUAGGGCAAAGAACAUUCUUAAUAAUUGAAGACCACUCUCUGGUCUUAGCAGAUCAUAAAACUACAUAGCUAGAUCAUACAGGAAAUUCAUUGGGAGAUUCUAUUGCAGGUUUGACAAGUUUGUGGAAAGCGGUUAAUAUAUGCACAGAAGAGUGAUGAUGCAUGACAAGUGAUAGGAAGCAAUAAAAGCACAUAUGUGAAAGAGGACGACACCUUUGCAAGAAGCUUUGCAUUCUCUUCUUUCAGAAACCUCUCCUGAAUUACGCCAAGCAGAGUCGCUAGAUUUAUAUAACCGGGAACUUAACAAUACUGGAUGAGAUCGGACAUGCAUUAAUCGUAUCUGUGCACUUACCUUUGCUUGUAACUGCUGUAUCUGAUCAUUGAAUAAUUGAGCCUGUAAAAGAGAUCCGCAGAAAUAUUUUAACUUUCGUGUGCGUGCAUGUCGUCCCCAUACCUUUCUUAGUACAAGGUCAACAGAAAAAAAAUGAGAAAAUAAGUUGAAAUGAUGGACGAUAGAAAUGAUAGUACAAUGCUUUGCAACUUGUUUAGAAACACAGUUCAAGUAAGAAGUUGUACACGGAAAUUGAUGAGGUUAAUAUAAUGAAAAACUCACAGUAUUCUAUUAUUUCAUGCUAAAGAAUACAGUUUUGUGUGUGUGUGUGUGUGUGUGUUAAUAAGUGUCAGUGUCAAGAAACCAUUGGUAAAAAAAUGAUUGCUGAUUAUUUUUUGUUAGAGAUAAGAAAAGUCAGUCAUUUAACCAAACCAAAUAAACGUGUCAACUAAUCAAAUAAGAGUUGGUGACAUAGAAUUAGUCGGUUGCUUAAUCAGAGAAGAGUUAGUAACUCCUAUAAUUAAGUUUGGUAAUUUCUGGAUGGGUUCGUAAGUAAGGCAAACAUUUAUAUGUGUACGAGUCUUAUAAGUGAAGGCUGAGGAGGUGAGAAAGUAUUUUUAUCAACAAAAUUUAUUUUAUGACAAAGAAAGCAAUAAAGAGAAAAAAGAUCUGCCUUUCGUGGCCUCCCGCUGCUUUUUUUGCCUUAUUUGGCUGUUUUGCUUCCUUAGGCCCGCUCUUGCGGUCCUCUUUUGUAUUCGGCUUCCUUCCACUCACUCUGACUUGUUGUCUUGUUGAGUGCAAGUUUUGUGGCGCCGGAUCUUUUGUAAUUAUUGGUUAAAGCUCAAUAUAUUCUUACCCUUCACCAAAAAAAAAAAAAAAAAGAGAGAAAAAAGAUCUGCUUAAAUUGUUGGCACGUAAGACGAAAGAGAAAUGAUAGACCUCACCCUCCACCAUAACACAAUACAAUGUUUCCAUUCUAUCUCAAGAGUAGUCAUAGGACGGGUUAGAUUAGGAAAAAAUGCACUAAGAAACCCCAAAUAAGCAUUUGGCAAGUUAGUUACACAAAAGUUGGUAACCCAAAAAGAGUUAGUAAAUUAAGCAAAAGGAAAAAUUUGAGAGUUAUUCAAAUAAAUAUUGGUAUGUGUGUAUAUAUAUAUAUAUAUAUAUAUAUAUGAGCAAUAAGAAAAAAAAAUAAAAUAAAAGUUCAUAAAUAUAUAUAUAUAUAUGAGCAAUAAGAAAAAAAAAUAAAAGUUCAUAAAAAAUUGAGAGAUAUUGUUAAUUGCACAUUGCUAAAAGGAAUUGGUGAUCUCAUAAAAGUGUUGGUCAAUUACCAAUAAGUUAGUCAGAAAUCAAGUAAUUGGAAACUUUUUUUUAUCACAAUUUUUCGUCAUGUAUAACUCUUUCAAAAGUUUAUCAGCCUAAAAAAAGAAUCGAAUUUUUUUUGGAAAAAGGAACAAUAGAGUCGUCCAAAUAACUCUAUGACAAAAAAAUGAUAGAAGAAUAACCAAUAGGCUCAAAGAAAAGGACAAAUAUGCCAAAGAUGCAUGUACCUUUCUUUCCCUAAUGCUGCUCAAACUUCGCUCGAGCUGAUUCCCUAUCUGUUGAAUUUCAUCGAUCGAGCAAGAUUCAACACAUUGUCCGGAUAGCUUCCUGAUGAAAAAAAGAAAAGGAGUACCAUAGUUUAGGGAAUUAGAUAUCAAGUAUCCAUUUCAAUCCACAAUAUAUAAGAGAGAAGUCUCAAAAUUUGUGGACCGUAGAGGAACUUCAAGAAGCUCGAUCUUCCUCUCCAUAUCCAUGGUUUCUUGCUUCAGAUGCUGCACAUAUAUGGAGAUUGGAUAUUUAUGAAUCCAGUGAACGGAACAAUACAAACUGAACAAAUGUAAAAUUAGUAAUGGAUAAAACCAAUCAUAGUGAACAAAUCUGUAACACCACAGGCUCUAGCAAAACUAAGACUCCUACUACAAGAACCCUAACGUUCUUGCAAAAUUUGUAGCUGGACACAAACCAUAGUCAAUUCUAUGGCUUACCACCUCAGCAAUUCUUGAGAUCAAAAGUAGGGUUCUCAUCAAGAACACGGUUCUAUAUUAUUACAAUCUGCAAAAACAAACAUAUAGGUCCACACCGACAAUCAAUUUUAAAAAUUCCUUCAAGAAAAAAAUAAGAUGUAAAUGCCCAAGGAGGGCAUGUUUUCGAGAUAUCAAGUGGUGAAUGAUGAGUGGGAUUUCAGAAGCUUAAAGCAUUUUAGGGGACAAGUUAAUGUCCUGAGGACAUGUACAAAGAUCAAAAUAGCAGUUUUAAUGUUUUAAGUAACUUGAAACCUAUUUGUCUCUCUCUAUAUAUAUCAGCAGUUUCUCCUCUCUGCUUUCCAGUCAUUGCCAAACCACAUAAAUAAGAGUGAUAAGGCUUGAAACAAUAUUACAAGUCCUUUAUCUAACCAUAACAGCACUUUGAUGGUGCAGCUUUGAUGGCUCUCUCAAAUUAUUCCCACUUGUGCCAGACUAACAUUUUGAGAUACUUGAUUUUUUUUCUGUAAAGUAUAAAAUUUGGAUGAGUUAGAAUUGGGUAUACGAGAGAUAAUGCAUACUUAAAGACCAAUUCUAGACAUGGUAAGACUUGUCUUCUAAAUUUGUUUACUUUAUGAGCAAAAGAAAAUUUGUUUACUAAGUGAUGAUGUAGAUUCCUGAUAGGUACUUAAAUGAGUAAACUUAAAUAACACUUAUGCGAUGCCACAUCGCUUAACAAACCAAUUUAGAAGGUAUCCCCAGCAUUCCUCAUGCUUAAGAAUCAUGAAGCAUCUCUCAUAUACCAAAGCAUAUGUAUCAUAUAUAUAUUUAACCUUGUAAACGUUCAAUUUUUUUAUUUUUUAUUAGUUUUAUUCUUUCAAAGUGAAACGUUUAUUGCUAUGACUCAGACAAAAUAUGUAUUUAUGAAUGUGCCUUCCAAGUUGCUGUCCCAAUUAAUUGUGAUAUACUGUUGAUGCAGACAAAAAGAUUUACUAAGUUGAUAUUUGAAAUAGUGAUCUUUUACCAAGCUUUGGUGACGAUAGAUGUAAUGGAAAUUGACGACUCAAAUAAGAGUAAAAAAUGAUUAGGAUUGUUCUUCUUGUUGAAAUAGCGAUCUUAUCAAUUAAGAUUUGAGCACCGUUAAGAUUUAAUUAAGUUCAUUAUUCCAGUAGCAGGACAUAGUGUUUCUUGUAUAGAUGUUUCCUAUUUCAUCAUGUUUCUUUAGAAGUCUCCCAUGUUAAGUAAGGGUAGAAUUUCUAGAAUAAUUUAUAAAUUUUUUCUUUGAAAUCGCGAUGCAAUAAUACUCUUAGGUGUAAUGACUAAGAAACCCAUUUGAGAUGCUUAGGCAGUUUUAUGUCUGACGCCUUAAAAAAUUACCCAUUCUAAGUUGUCGUCCAUUGAAAGUUCUCUUCAGGUUCUUAUUAAGUUGAGCUCACUGUUUUGGGAGAUGUCAUCCUGCAUAUCAAUUUUGUGUCAUGGUAGAGACGAUAUGUUCUGAAUAAUGAGCUUCAAAGAGAACUUGAAGAGAAUAAACCAUUCAAAACGAGUAAAUUUCUUUUGGCAUCACAUCUACACUGUCUAAGCAUCUCACCUAGAGUUUUAAAAGUUUCACACUUUAGAGAACCAUUCUAUCACACAAGAAAGAGUUACAAUCAUCCUUAUAAACCCUUCUAGGAUUAAUCAUACUCCUAAUUCAGAUAGGAAGACUCCAAACAAGAAAUAGAAUUGAAAUAGAAUUCAUCUACACAAGAAACUUAAUGUCCCAUUUGUGACGUAAGUGGAAAAUUUAAUAAAAUCCCGAUGGUACUCAAAUCCUAAUUGAGAAGACUACCAUAAAAUUCAACUAAAAGAAUAAUCCAAAUCCUAGGUGUCACAAGCCAGUAACGACCAUCCUCAUCAAAGCUUUGUAAAAACAUAGGCUUGUUUGAUCUUGUUGCCUUCAUUAGUGGCUACAGUCAAUGAUUUAUCCUCAAUGUAAUAGAAAUCAUCACAACAAUCUCAAACAGAAACUGAUUCAGAAGGUUAAAAUAACACAUCGAGUGAGGUAAUUUCUUUUCAUCUCUUGCAAUGAAAUAACACUUAUAGAGUGCCGCAUCAUUUAGUAAACCAGCUCAGAAAGUAUCCCAAGCAUUCCUCAUGCUUAAGAACCAUGAAGCAGUUCUCAUGUGCCAAAGCACAUGCAUCAUGUAUAUGUAUUCUAACAUUGCGAAAGUUCAAUUUUCCAAAUUGCAACAUGUUUUUCUAUAGCCUAGCCAACAGAUGUAUCCAUGAAUGUGCCUUCCACGUUAGUGUUCCCAUCAAUAGAGAUAUACUGUUGAUGCAGAUAAAAGGAUUUACGGAGUUGAUAUUUGAACAUUAGCCAAAAGAUGUAUCCAUGAACUCCUUAGGAAUGCACCUAAUGUAUUAUCUUGGAAAGGUUAGAGUACUGACCAGAAUAUAUCGUUCCAUCUUAGCAUGGUACAUAUUCGCAUCAUUUGUAUAUCUAUGAUAUUGAUCAAUUGUCUUUCGGAUUCUGAAAAAUUUGCAAAGACAGCAUAUGAGCUCAGCCACCGCAAGUGCAUUCUCCAAAUUAAUCAGUUAUCAUCAAAACUAAAGUAAUCGAACAUUAAACAAAUUAAUGAUCAUUUUUGUGAAUCAAGCAUGACUUCUAGUGAAUAUGUAUCACUCACCCACAAACAGAACAUGCAUGAGGCAUAUAAGCCUCUGCAAGAAGCUUUUAGCUUCUAAGUAACUCAUUUGCAACGACAUGGAGUACUUGGAAAAGUCUGGGAUGUCCACAUUAUGCUUUGUAAAUAAUCAUGCCAAAAAUAUUUUUCUUCAAAUUUUAGCAGGAAAACGUUCAAGUUUACACUAUAAAAGUAUAUAAGGUGCGCACGUGAAGUAAAUUUAAAUUCGAGCACAGAAUGAAUUAUUGCAAUGUAUUUUGCCUGAGCCCAAAGGCUUCAAUAUUCCACAUGCCACUCCAUGUCAGUAAGAAGUAAGAACAGCACAUUAUGCUUAUAAAAUCAUCAGUUGCAUUGGGAAGCAAUACAAGGACUUAUCACUUCUCGGAGAAAUUAAAAGAGCAAGCAAUUUCACCUACAUCUAACUUGUGACUUCAAGUACUUCUUUUCCCGGUAAAUGAAAAACAGGGAGUACUUACACGGUGGAACAACUAAAAUGGCAAACAUGUACAAUUGCAGUCACAUUUUGACAUAUAUACUCUAUGAGUAAGAAAUCCAAGAGAUCAGUGUGUUGUUUCAUGUUAGCCUUAAUCUAUUAAACUAGUGAAUGUACUCGAUCCCAUAAAAUCACCACUACACAAAUCUAGUCAAGCUCAUGAUAUUAUUCAACUUUGAAAGCACUAUAUAGUUAUAAGUUCCUAAAGUUGAAGAUGUCAAGACUUGUUUCACAGGCUUUUGUUUAGGUUUAAAGUACCAUUAAAAAAUCAACUAGAAAGUCUUUUGCAGGUUUUGUUUGAUUCAGAAAAAAGAGAUUAAUUAUGCUUUAAGUUUCGAUUCAAUGAACCACGAUUUGAAAUGCUUCUUGAUUAUGGCAGUAGAUAGAUAACAUGUUAUUCGAAUUCCCAAAACACAUAAUGGGUUCAGUCCACGAUCGAAGGGGAAAAGCACUAAACGUUUGACCAAAACACAUGAUGCUGUCCCUUAUUUACACUUUACAGACACACAGCAUAUAUAUGUGCAUAUGCGCUCAUUUUUGAUAUAAGAAUGUUAAAAGCUACUCGAAAAAUUAUAAAUUCAGUACGUGAACAUACUCAGAAUUGCUCGAGAACUUGUAAAGCCUUCCUUUCUGUGAAAAGAUGAUCACGGCAACUUCCGCAUCGCAGAGGACCGAGAGCUCAUAAGCUUUCUUCAGUAGUCCAGUCCGGCGCUUUGAGAAGGUGACUUGCCGGCCCGUUGCAUUCUCAAUUCGCCUCAUCUGAAUUUUGCCUCUUGCCAUGAUUAAAUUUCCCUACGUAUAUGAUGGUUAUCAACCCUAGAAUGACAAGUACUCAAACAUAGCGUUGAACAUAACAAAUAUACCACAACGAUCAAACACAAGGACUCACCGGAGUCCUUGUGCAGCUUCAAUUAACUGAAGAUUUAUCUUUUUAUCACCUCCUAUUGUCUAGACUUUAGACUGAAGUUCUUGAGAAGCUAAAAACACUGCAAGACAAAUCACACCUUUUUUUCUUUUUCAAACAGACAUGAACUAUAUUAUCAUUUGAACACAAUCAAAAACCACGGGAUAAAGAUUUCACAAUCAAUGGUCGGAGAAUUAUAGAUUUGCCCACCGUAUUAAAGGGGAAGCAUCUCUACUCACUCUAAGAAAAAUGAACCACAAUAAAUUCAGAAACCCUAAAGAGCAAUGAGAGGGCGAAGACAAAAACAGAAAAAGGUGGAAUGAACGCAAGGGAUAUUUGGCAGUUGAUGGAUCCCUCUCUUUAUUUUGUGGCCACAAACGUAAAAAGACAUGAAAAAGCCUCUUAUUCCAAACUCAAGGAUCGUCUACCCGGGCCAAAUACGGUGUGAUGUACCAAUAAAAAGGAAAAACAAACAAAAAAGGAAAGGAAUAAGGAGCAAAGCAAAGCAUUCAAGUUCAACCGAAACGGCAUGGCUAAUUUGGUGAAGAUUCAAGAAGCAGAUGGAUUAUCUUGUUUUGCUAAAAUUAAGAAAAAGAGAGUAGAGAGAGAGGGGGAAAUUUUUUUGUUUUCUUCGAAAAAAAACGCAUAUUUUGCCAGUGGGUUUCAGCUUCAGCUGUUGCGGCCUGUGGGACACUCGAAAGAGAGAGCAGUAAGAAACGAAACGGGUGAAAAGGAGGAGAAAAGGUGGUUCGAUAAAUAUGAGAAUUGUCGACAUCAUCGUACCGUGACGUGCACAGCUAACUAAUGGGACGUUGACGAGAGGGAAAAAUUGCCUCUCACCCAAAUUGUGCCAAAUAGGAACAGCCUCGGGACUCUUCUUCAGUCGGUUCCUCUCUUAAUGGGUUUAUGAGCACUUGGAGAACUCGAAAUUAUUUCUAUGAGAAAUUCAUGGAUAAAUAAAUACAUAUGUUUCCUUUAGCUUAUAUUUUCUUUAUGUUCAUCUUAUAAUUCAUCAUUUUUUAGGGGUGUAAAAAAUACCUAAACCUUUUUGGUUCAAGUAAUAAGUAAAAGAAUUCGGACGGUUUGGUUCAGAUAUCAAAUUUUUUUUUUUUUUUUGCACAUGGCAGAUCAAAGGCUACUGACUAUGAUAUACUAAUCCUAGAUCACUUGAUUUUCUAAUUAGCAUAAAUGUAAUCUUUGAUGAGAGUGCUAUGUUUUGACAAAAAACUAAUAGAGCAAAUAUAUCAUGGUGUAGGUAGAGCUUGGAGACUCUAGAAAUUUCAAACACAAUGGAGCUUUAGACUAUACAUGAUGUCGUAGUUCCUAAAGUUAGUGACAUUGAACAACCAACAAAAUCGUAGCAUUCUAUAGUUGUGAGUAGACAGAGAAGGCAAAUUGGCUACCGAUUCAUUAUGAAUAUACAUAUAUUACUUAUACAUUAAUUAUAAAGUGGUAAGGUAGAAAUAUAUGAGCCUUUGUCUUAUUCUAAGACAAUAGCUAGUGCUAGACUAUUACAGUGACUAAAGACUAUGAGUAAAUAGAUGGAAUCAUUCCAUUGGAACUAGACAUGGAAGCUUGUUAAAAUAUCCAAGAGCCAUAACAUUAUUGGAAACAAGUGGGUCUACAAAUAGAAAUAGGGCAUUGAGGGAUAAGGUGAGACUUGUUGUGAAGGGGUAUACACAACGAGAGGACACUGGUUACAACGAGGUAUCUUCUUCUAUUGUAAGACAAACUUAUAUUUGAAUAUUACUUGUCUUAAUUGCUACACAAAAUCUCGAGCUGGAAUAGUUGGAUGUGAAAAUGGCAGUUUUUCAUGAUGAGUUGGAGGAGCCGAUAUACAUGAGGAAGCCAAAGGGAUUAAUUAUUCCGAGUAAGGAAAACUGUGUUUGUUUAUUAAAAAAAUCUUUAUAUAGGUUGGAACAGUUUGUUGGGCAGUGGUAUAAUUGUUUUGAUGCAUUUUUGGCCAGUCAAGACUAUAUGAAAAGUCAAUUGGACAAUUGUGUUUACUUUAGGAGAUUGGAGGAUGGAUUUUUGAUUUACCUAUGAUUAUUUGUCGAUGAUAUGUUGAUAACAAUCAAGAUUAUGUCUGAAUUGAUGUGUUGAAGAGGCAACUGAGUGCUGAAUUUGAGAUGAAAAAUUUGGGUGUUGCAUAGAAGAAGAAAAAUGUCAAAAACACUUAUUGGAUUAAUCGUAUAGAGAGCUUUUAUUUUGAAAAGAGCUGUAAGAAUUACUUGCAAUGGAGUUGUUUAUUUGAAAAUACCGUAGGUUUAAGUAUAAAUUAAGUGUGGAAAACAAUCGAGCAUGUAAACUAUUAUUAGCUCUAUUGAUUCUCUAAUUAUUAGUAGAUUAUUUAAUGCUAGCUCUUCUCAUUGGUGAGUUACCGAUACAUAGACCAAACAACAUAAAUUCUUGAUGUUUUUUCUUGGUCCUGACUUAUUUCUAUGGUGAUUUUGCAUUGAUUUAAUUUGCAAGAUCCAAUAUUUUCCACAUUAAUUUUACAAAUAUUUUGAUGGACGAGUCACCAUAUCACUUGUAAAAUACAAAAGAUGAGGACGACAUAGCUAAUGUAAUGUGGAUUCAUGAGGACACCAAAAGAACACAAACCUUUAAUUAAAUCGUAUAUCUUUACUAAUAUAUAAAGCCAAUCGUAUAUCUUUACUAAUAUAUAAAGCCAAUCGCAUAUCUUUACUAAUAUAUGAAGCCAAAGCACACACCUUACGCAUGUGACCAAUAUGCCCCAUUUACCAUGUUCCUACAUCACAACAAUUUUGAUCCUCUCAACUAUUCCCCAUUUUUUUUCAAUACUUAAGUACAUUUUAUAGUGCAGACAUCAACAUAGCUAGAGAGCAUCUUCCCUUGGCAAACUCAAUAUAGUGGCAUGUCUUCAAAACGAAGAUGGAAUCCAACUUCCACAACUGCUAAUGGUAAUUUAGUUUCUCGAACAAAAGGCAACCAUAACAAUCUCAAUGAAUCUUAUACAAAGCUAAAAGGCUCCUAAGUCGGAUUCAAAAAUCUAAAUACCAUACGAAUCACACAAAUAUUUGUUAGUUGAGAUGGCAGAUAUUUUCUCCUUUAGCAAACCAACAACCUUAAGUUGAGUUGACAAAUAGAGUGUGUUUAGAAACUCUAUCAUACAUAUGCCGAUCUUUCCACUACUCACAAUAUCUACACAUAGUAGUUGAUACUGAGAGAAGUAUGUAUGUGUUUGACUAAAUUAAGCAAUGGUUAAAUAUUGGAGAAUUAAUGCAAAAUCAUGCAUUGGCAUAUUAUACACAUCGUUGAUUGAUUAAAUAAUUCAACCCAAGGGUCAUUAUUCUGAUGUGUAUAAAACGGGUAUUGUGGAAAGUCAUCAUUUGGUAUAUUGGCAGUUUGGCUAAAAUUAUUGAAAAAGAAUGACUCAUUGCCAAUAGCAUUUUGCAUAAACAAGUAAUCCAAUUUUACUUUAAAAUAAAUUCAAAAAGAAUUCUUGUCAUUUUGAUCAAUGGGAUUCAUCCUAACAAAAUUUACAUUUAAAAGUACUCUCACUCGAUAUUGAUUUGCUUCCCCAUGUCACUUUCAUGGGCUUAUUUAACGCACAAAAUCCCUUUUUCUUAUUUGUGAGGACACUAAGGUACUUUUUUUGGCAUGAGAUUGACUCAUCCAAGACAAUGUUCUCGUUUUAAGGAAAGGAAUUAUUGUAAUGAGAUGUUUUAUAAAAGAAAAAUCACACUAGUAUUGGAUUAUAGCUGAAAAGCUGGCCAUGGUCUUGAUGUAGACCAACCCAAAUUCAUCCCCAACAAGUGACCGUGGAGAGGGCCCGUGGUCUUUCUAAUUCAAGCUUUUCUAUAGAUUUUUUAAGGGAAAAGACUACUAAAAACUCCAAACUUUGCUCAAAGUGACAAAUUUACUCCAAACUUUUUUUAUGAUAUGAAAAAUCCCGAACUUUGCCAACUGUGACACAUUUACCCUAAACUAUAUGGCAUUUUGGUUUUUUUUUCUUCUUCUUCUCUCUUCCCUCCGCCAGCCAUGGCAGAGUUGGUAGAGGGAAGCCGGCGUUUGGUGAGGGCUGCCCUCACCAGUGUCGCGCAAGGGUCGCCCUUGCCGUGGGCUAGUGAGGGUCGCCCUUGCUUGGGCUAGCUAGGGCCGCCCUUGUUGGUGUUAGGCGAGGACGGCCCUUAGUUGGGUCGGGCGAAGGCCUCCCUCACUAGGCCCUCACCAGCGUUGGGCGAGGGGUGCCCUUGCAGAUUUAGCGAGGGCUAUCCUCGCCCGACGCAAGUGAGGGCAGCCCUUGUCGGUGUUGGGCGAGGGCACCCCUUGCUGAACUUGGGUGAGGGAGUCUGGCAAAGGGGUGCCCUCGUUGGCGUCGGGCAAGGGCUUCCCUCACUAGAUUUGGCAAGGUUACCCCUCAUUGGACUCAAGCAAGGGAAUCUAGUGAGGGCCUGGUGAAGGAGGUCCUCGCCUAACCUAGCCGAGGGCUACCCUCGCCCAAUACUGGCUUCCCUCUGCCAUGGCCGAUGGAGAGAAGAGAGAAAAAGAAAAAGAAAAAAGAAAACAUAAAAAGACGAAAAUGCCCCUAGUGGGGGUAAAUAUGUCAUAAUUUGUGAAGUUUUGGGUUUUUCAUAUUACCAAAAAAAUUUUGGGGUAAAUUUAUCACUUUGGGAAAUUUUUUGAAUUUUUGGUGGUCUUUUUCCAUUUUUUAAUCACAAAAAAGGAAAACAAAGGGAAAAAUAGAAAGCUUAUUCAUAGGUUUUAUUUCCUUUUGUCUUAUUUAUUUGUGUAUCUUCUUAUUAAUUGCUAAGAUCGAUACACUAUAGAUCAUUGUCAUCUCAUGUGUCACUAAGUGUCCUUAAAUGUCUGUCCCUCCACUCCCCUUCCAAUUAAGGCAUCGUCGUAGGAACAUGUCAUUGCUCACGAGCUCAGAUACAAGCUAGCUUACGUCAGACGAAAAAAGUUUGACCUCAUUGUUUGGGAUGAGUUGCAAGUCUACUGAGUAGCCUCACGUUGCAACAUGACAAUUUUGAUUCUAGAAUAUUUCAGAUUUCCAUGAUCCUCAUGUCCGCAUAUGUGUAUGCUGAGGAAAAAUAUAGAGGUGACGGAUGAACAUUUUUUUGGCUUAGCCAACCUUUAAGAGGUCCGACCAAAAAAUAAAAUAAAUUAAAAACCUCAAAGAGGUGUCCUAAGAUGUUGAAAUGUACGCAGGCAGUCCAAAAAUAUGCUCAACAGAUGUUUCUUUCUUGGAAUCGACUGAUGUGUAAUUCAAAUGUGAAUGCCCAAGCUGCAGGCAAGUUAUAUCCAUUGUUUCUGAAUCUUUCUCGUAUAUGUCCUUGUCAUUGCUCAUUUCUAAUCUGAUCUUUCUUUGCCUUCGCUAUUCAUUUUCAAUAAGACUACCAUGAAUAUCAUGUACAUGUUGUUGCGAUAGUGCCAAGGAGAAUCCAGCUGAUUAAAGAUGUCACCGAGUAAUAUUGCUGUAAUUCGUAUACUAUUCUAUUUAACAGAUAUUAUUAGACUUGUGUCUGGUGAUGGCGAAUCAGCUUUUAACUCUCCGGCAAUCCAAUGAACAACCCAGUCUCAACAUCUGUACUCCGGCUGCUCCGGCUAUGUAUUGCUGCUGCUCUUGGAUGAGCCGUUGACUGCCAAGGAUUUGCAUAGCGCUGGAAUUGGAAGAAAGCAAAAAAGGACGCAAAACGCUCUAUUAAAUAUAUGAAACAAUAAAUGCAAUUGAAUAAUGAUGGGACCUAGAAACCUUCACUGAAUUAAAAUGGCAAAAAGCUGAAGCACAACUUGAGAUAUAAUCGCAUUGAACAGGCCUUCCACUGGAUCCAAAUUAGGUGAUGCAAGCAUCUAUGUCUAAGCACCCAGAUCUAGCAAUAGUCACUGGGAAAUUUCAAUUUUUCCCAACAUCUGACUCUAGAAGAUGCUUUCCUACGUUGCCCCAAAAAAAAAAUUCUAAAAGUGGUUAGCUGCACCAGACAUGAUUGCGAACUUUGGUUCCACCUAUAGUCCAUGUCUAAAGUAUUGACUAGUAUCUCAUGAUAGUAAUAAACUCUAUGUUGUGAUUUUUUUCGACAUGGGUCGUAUUUGAAGGCCGUUAGUUUUUGUUAUCAAGUCAGUAUUUUCUAAACAGAUCAACUACUGGUCACAAAAUCAUAAAAAGACAUGGGAACUUUCAGUCCUACAAUCACGUGUUAGAAACAUUAUAUUGUACUGGCUGAUAGUAAGUUGGGUAGUAGUUGUCUCAACAUUGAUUACUCAUGAACAUUGUGCUACUAAUUUUUAUUAUCAUAUCGGCAAUUACUAACUUUAUGAUAUUUUCACUAGGAAAGUUGAAUAUUUCCCAACAACCAACUCCGGAAUUGGUUCUCUACCAUUCUCAAAAAAGAGAAAAAUGAAGAAAAACAAAAGAAAAAAAAGCUCCAAAAGUGAUGAGGAUGCCGAAUGUGAUCACUAAGAACUUUGGAUCCAUCUAGUCCCCAGUUGGAAAACACAAAAUAAUCUUUCAAGAAACAAAUUUCUCAAAGUAUUGAUAUUCACAAUGUGGGUCGCUAACUUACUGCCAGUAACCUUUUUCUUUUCAAGUUAGUAACUUUCCAAGCAUAUCAAGUAAUGGUAACGGGAUCAUGGAAAGACACAGAUUUAGGUCCAUCUACAAUCCUACAGUCUCCUACAGAUAAUUGUAUCUCAUGAUCUUCCCUAAAAUUUGUUUUCCCAACAUGUGUUCGUAACUCUGCAUUAUUAACUUCUAUUAUGGAGUCAAAUCACUUUCUUAACAGAUCAAGCGCGGGACCAUAAAAGGACACAGAUUUGAGUUUGUCUACAGUUCCAUGUAGAAAAAGAAAAGUAGAAUUGUAUCUCGUGACAGCAAAUUUCUCAGUGUGGUGGUAAUUUUCUCAACUUGGAUUAGUAGCUUAAUGCUAUUAAUAAGUUUCAAGCAGAUCAUACGGUCUCAUGAUCAUAGAAUUCUUUGGUGAUGUUCAUUUUAAGUGCUCCUUCUAACUUAUGCCAUCAUAAACAAAACUUCUCACAGAUAUAGAAAUGUUCAAUAUAAAUACUGGUAUUUAACCCAGAAAUUAAGCAUCUCUCAUUAUGCAUUGUCCUUUUCAUAAGAACUGAUCAUGUUGCAGUACUCUUUAAAGGUGGUGGUAUCAAGAGAGCAAAAAGCAAGCUCCUCCCCUUCCUUUGUACUACAAUAAAUAGAUAGUGUUGGAAAUUAUGAUCCAUUUUCUCUAAAACUGUCUAGAAACUAUUAACUUAAUCAUGAAGGCGAGAACGUUGGUAGCAGCAUCCACGUUGAAGAUUGUCUAGAAUUGUUGAGAAUGGCGGUUGCUAGCUGAACCUAGAAGAUUCACGUGGGAAUGCAAGCAAGCAGAAGCCAAGUUGAAGAAGAAAUCCUAGAACAAGCUAGAGAAGUCUACGUGCAUGGAAAACACGUUUUCUUCAUUAGCAAGCAGCGGAAAGCAUGAAGCAAAGUUUCUUCAUCAAACUCCAGCUGUCAAGAACUUAUUGAAGAAGAAAAAAAGAAGUCCAAGAGAGGCUGAGGCGGUGAAGAAGAGAAACUUGAAUGAAAGUCAAAAUUGUCAUGCUUGAAGUCGGUUGUAAUUGCCUACAAGUAGGCUUGUAGUUCAUUCAUUUGGUGUAUGAGGUUUAGAGUUCCACCGUGUGCGGAGAAGUAGAGUUAUGAUGAUUUCUAUGUCAUGAAAUACUCCUCCAUUAUCAAAAUAUCUUGUACCAUCCAUUUUCAUCAAUUAGAUAAAUUAUAUCUCAUGUUCUUUAUCCUUGAAUUAUCCUAUCUUGUCCCUUGUCCAUCCACUACAAAUUAUAUCAUAUACUUGCGCACAUUACUAAUCAAAAACUAUCAACCAUAUCUAAAAUCAUGCUUCCGCACACAUCCAAAUUUUUAACAGAAGGUUUUAACACCAGAACUAAUAGAGAGUCAGACAAACUGAUGACCAGCACAUUUAACCAGUACAAUAAACAGGACAGCACACAAUCUACUAAUAUUGGUUUGAUGGACAAAAGCAGCAAGCUUCUUCACUAUACAAGCCUAUUAGAAUAUUAGGGAAAAGAACAUUCUUAAUCAUUGAAGACCACUCUCUGGUCUUAGCAGAUCAUAAAACUACACUGCUAGAUCAUAUAUGAAAUUCAUUGAGAGAUUCUAUUGCAGGUUUCACAAGUUUGUGGAAAGUGGUCAAUAUAUGCACAGAAGAGUGAUGAUGCAUGACAAGUGAUAGGAAGGCAAUAAAAGCACAGAUGUGAAAGAGGGCGACACC
rnacentral:lncRNA from 1 species